CCUCACGCCAGGAUCCCUCAGACCGCCCCGGCUGCCCGGGCAAAGGGUUCCAGCAGCAACGUGUCAGGCUGCAGCUGCCCCAUCUUCUCACACUCAGAUGAUGAGGUGUGUUUCCAGGAUAUCACUUUUCCAGCGCCUCACCCAGGACUGGCAAUCUACAAGCACAUAUGUGCCCUCUCGGACUGGUGAAGCAGAAACCCUGCAUACCCCCCGGAAGGUUGCUCAGCUGCAAUGAGUAAGCACAGCACCCCUGAUGUGGAGGGAGCUUUGCCAGAGGGCUGCAGGAGUCUCAGGAUGUCAGCAUCCUCCUGUCCAGAGGCGCAUCUCCUCUGGAUGGGGAAAGGUGCCUGAAUAAAAUGCAGUGGGAACCACUGACAGAGGCUGCUACAAGACCACAGUAGUCUCCAAACCAGCAUGGUUGGUGGGUCUCCAGGGACUGUCAGCAUCCCCUUUCACCCAGACAGCAGGAAGAAGAAAGUCCCUUGUAUGUCCCAGUCUGUGUCCAAGGAUCACACCUGGCUCACCUGUGGGAUGGUGGCAAGAUUCUUGCAAAUUAGCACUGAGACGCUGGUGGCCAGUCUGUGCUUCUCUUGGGUGCCUCAAACAGUUCCAGCUUUUCCUAGUGAAGACAUCAUGUGCCCAGAACUUCACCAGUGGCUCCAGCCCACUCUUCCCAUGAUUUGGGGGUACAUGGCCAACCUCCAGCUUGUGGUUUGAAAGACCAACCAGAACUACUAUCCUGUUACAUUUUUCUUUCCAGGCUGUGAGUCAUGGUGCCAAGAAUUUGUCUGCAGCCAGUCUCCAUAAUGCCUUUGUAACCAGGCCCUACAAGUGAGUGGAGGGUUUUGCUGUGCAGAAGGAGGGAUCGACCUUCCCCACUGCCCAACAAAAGGGAUCAAUAAUGUCAAUGGCAGCAGUGAAGGCACUGAAAAAGCAGUGGUGCUUGAUGAUGAGAACAGUCCUUGGGGCUGUGGGAAUGAAUUUGAUAUAAUCUCAUUUCUCACUUACACGGAACAUAAGGGGCAGAAGGGAUUUCUGUGUGUUUGGGAACUAUGGCCAAGUCCCUCUGCACAACUAUCAUUACUAGGCAGCUGAUACACAAAUUAAACAGAAACCUUUUACUCCUCAGCAUGUUGUUUCUUGUCUUCUUACUUUGAGUACAUUCUCCAAGCCUUUUUUAAACACAACUAGUUGUUUUCCAAAUCCUCUUAGUGUUACAAACAAUAAUAUUGGCUGAAGCAUCUAGAAAAUGUAAAGUGCAGUUGAUCCUACCCUUCCCCACAUGUUUGGCUUCCAUCAGGCCUGGCUUUCACCAUGAAACACCUGCUCCUGCAGCAAAGCCCUCCUGUGUCAGAGGCAGUAUGUUUGCAAUCCUGGCCCUUGUCUUCCAUUAGCAAACAAGGGAGUCGCAGCCACCUGAGCCAGAGCACACUGUGAGCCCUCAGGGAGCCAUAAUUUGCUUUUUUCUUUCUAUUAUUGUGGUUGAGUAUUUUUUAACUUACAUUCUUAAUUGCAGAGAUUGUCGAUGAACUUGCAAGGCUGCAGUCCAGAGACUGGGCAAACAGCAUUUGGGUAACUAAUGGCUGUUGGCCUGAUAGUAACUGUGGAGCAAAUAAAUGUGUGCAUGAAGUGAUAUUUAGCAAUUACAGGGCUGGAAACAGAAUUAGUGACAAACAGCAUGAUUUAAAGAGCAAUGGGUCUUGCCAGGCUCAGACCAGACAGCAAGAGAUGUGCUGAUAAGGACAACUGUCACACCACCUUCCUCAGUGCCUCUCCUCACUCGCCGUAGCACAUUGUGAGUGAACAGAUUGUUCUGUGAGCAGUGGAGUUAACAAAACCUUUUUUUUCUAGUUUUCUAGUCCCUCUAAUAGCCCCACCAUGUGGUCUUGACUCUGGAUCUUUGUCACUGACAAUGUGAGUGGUCCAAAUGCUUCUACAGCAGCUGCCACCGCAUGAUCCUGUGCAGUGUCGGUGCUCUGGGAGAGCCAACCCUCCAAAGGCACCGACCUCCGGCUUGCCCCUGGGCUCAUAAAUGUGAUGGGUGACACCUGGGUGCUGGGGAUCUUCCCAAAUGAGGUUUCUAAAGUUGCUUUUUGUGGGAACUGUGUUUCCAAUCUUGAACUGAAACCUCUGCUAGAGUACUGGUUUUCACCUGAGCCUUGUCCAGUAGGUUAAGCCAGGCAUGCAGCUUUUCUCAGUAUAACUCCACUGCAAACUUAGUUCUAGGCAAUGCUUUCAUCCUGAGCUGCCAGAGUCUGUGUGGGGACAAACAGUCCCCGGGCUCUAGGGGAGCCCCUGUUGACACAUCUAAACCAAUAUUUCCUUAGUAAGACAGCUCACAGAAUGAGGAGCCACAGUCCUGCAUUUAUUACC